rnacentral:lncRNA from 1 species
CUCCCGCCCCCUGACCCAGGACCGCUGUCCCCAGCCCGAAGCACAGGUGUGGACCCCUGCGCCGAGCCUGCAAGGUUCUAGUCUCCACGUCUGGGCACCUCCCAAGCGCGGGUCCGCGCAAAGGCCUAAUAACCAGAGUCUACAAGUCAUAGGCUAGGACUCUUCUGCAUGAAAUCCUCAAGAUUCAAGAUCCUUCGAGCUUGUUGCUCCUCCAGGCAGGACCUCCAUUCCCAGGAUCCCCCCACGGCUGCUCCAGCCCCGACCAUUAUACUGUGCAGGCCUUAUGCUUCCAGCCAGCAGGCAGGGGAGAAGGACAAAAAAAUAAGGGACAAGCCAUAAUUUUAACUUUUUCUUUAUUACACAUAAAUGAAUAGUUUUUAUGCUCUUACUUAAUUACCAACAUUUUUAAUAGUGAGUAGGAUGUCAAGAAUGAUUCAACAAUGUGAUCGUCUCCAAAUCUACCUGAUUUUAGACAGUUGGGUGAGAGGACAGGUCACCUGUUCUGGUUUGGGUUGUUUUUUUUUUUUUUGGUCAUAUUGUUCUUUCAGUGUUUAUUGUGCAGUGUUGUUUGAGUUAACACCUUUGUUUUUAGGAUGAAUUUCCUGAGGCUAUGGUAGAAGAGGGUAAUUCAUUCAAGUGUUGGUUACCCACAGGAAAAAGUAUAUGGACUUAUAAUUUUCCAAGGUUCCACGAUGAAGCAGAGGAUUUAUAAUUCAAGUUAUCCAGUCCUGACCUUGGUCUCUAGGAUCUUGGUAAAUCUGGCGAGCAUAAGAAAAAAAUGGCCAAAUGAUAACUUUGACUCUAAUUCCAAUUUUCUAUGGAACUAAUCAAGUUAGUAUUAGAGCACAAUGAUAUUUCCCAUUUCAUUUGCGGGAAAUAUUUCAAAAAUUUCAGACUUUUGCUAUUUAAUUUACCGCAAUUAAAUAUUUCAAAGGACUGCUGGCAUGAAAUAGGAUUCCACCUGUUUUUUAUCAAUUAGUGGUUAAUUCUGUUAAAAACCUCUUAAGGAAUAUUAAAAAGAAAAUAUUGGAAGUAUAAAUUUUAUGAAAGCAUUGUUUAAAUUAUGAGACGUAUUUCCUAUUAAUUUAAAUAGCAAAUUUAGCAAGCAAGGUGCCUAUUCUUUAGAAGUAUUUUUCUCCUCAGAUAAAGGUUAUUGGAAAAUUGACAGGUGGUUGGGGGAGGGAUGGAUUGGGAGUUUGGGAGGAGCAGAUGCACACUGAGGUAUACGGAAUGAUUGGCCAACGCGGACCUGCUGUGUAGCACAGGGAACUCUACCCAAUAUUCUGUGAUGGUCUAUGUGGGGCAAGAACCUGAAAAAGAAUGGAUGUGUGUACAUGUAUAACUGAAUCACUUCACUCUACAGCAGAACUAUCACAACAUUGUAAAUCAACUAUACUUCAAUAAAUUUUUAAAAAAUGAAAAAUAAAAUAAAUUCUUAAAAAAA